AGAACGAACGCUGGCGGCAUGCCUAAUACAUGCAAGUCGAACGAAGGCUUCGGCCUUAGUGGCGCACGGGUGCGUAACGCGUGGGAAUCUGCCCCUUGGUUCGGAAUAACAGUUGGAAACGACUGCUAAUACCGGAUGAUGACGAAAGUCCAAAGAUUUAUCGCCAAGGGAUGAGCCCGCGUAGGAUUAGCUAGUUGGUGGAAGGUACGCUAGACCAAGGCGACGAGUCUAGCGUGUC
rnacentral:rRNA from 1 species